UACAGAGGUCUCAAGCGUUGUUCGGAUUCAUUGGGCGUAAGGGUGCGUAGGCGGGCUGCCAAGUCCGGGGUGAAAUCUUUCGGCUUAACCGGAAAAUAGCCUUGGAUACUGGUAGUCUCGAGGGAGGCAGGGGCCGUUGGAACUUCCGGUGGAGCGGUGAAAUGCGUUGAUAUCGGAAGGAACGCCGGUGGCGAAAGCGAACGGCUGGUCCUCUUCUGACGCUGAGGCGCGAAAGCCAGGGGAGCAAACGGG
rnacentral:rRNA from 1 species